GCUGACAAAGUAAAAGAUGUAUGGAUCUGUGCAAUUUCUGGGUUUUCUUCUAGUUAUGACUGUACAAGAGGUUCCCUGGGCUUCUUGCUGUUGGUAUAGGAGACUAUGUCACUGAAAUCAUUCCUUCUGCCACCGCAGAUGGAAGACAGGAGGUUGGGGGAGGAAGUCAGAAGUGCUGCACUGGCUCCAGAGUGGAGACGCGGGCAGAGGAGAGUUUUUCCUGCCAGCUCCCCAGGAGCAGAGGACACUGGGAACAGGAAGAGACGCAUAAUUUACGAAACCAGAGUAAAGAGCCCUUGCAGAGUCUUCAGGAAACACAGACAUUUGUCUUAAAACCCCGGUGCUCUCCGGCGGCAGAUGGGCGCCCAAGCUUGCGUUUGGGGGAGGAAGGACUGCGGAGUGGGGACAGGGCCCUCGGGCAGCUCCUCACUCACCUUGCGCUUGUUGUGAUAGGCAAUGUAGAGGACAGCCACGAGAACGGCCGCGGUCACCAGAUAGGCAAAGAAGUGGCUGCUCUCUGCGCGGGAACUUCCAGGGCUGUCCUUGAAAAGCUCAUCCUUCUCCCUGCUCAUGGGAUCCAGAAGCAGACCCUCGCGGGUCUCCCCGGAGGCAGGCCCCGGCAUCUUCUCCUUCUCUUCCUCCAGGG